rnacentral:rRNA from 1 species
CGUUCCCGGGCCUUGUACACACCGCCCGUCACACCAUGGGAGUUGGUUUUACCCGAAGGCGGUGCGCCAACCGUAAGGAGGCAGCCGACCACGGUAAGGUCAGCGACUGGGGUG